AUUGAACGCUGGCGGAAUGCUUUACACAUGCAAGUCGAACGGUAGAGGGGGCAACCCCUCGAGAGUGGCGAACGGGUGAGUAAUAUAUCGGAACGUGCCCAGUCGUGGGGGAUAACGUAGCGAAAGUUACGCUAAUACCGCAUACGAUCUAAGGAUGAAAGCGGGGGAUCGCAAGACCUCGCGCGAUUGGAGCGGCCGAUAUCAGAUUAGGUAGUUGGUGGGGUAAAGGCUCACCGAGCCAACGAUCUGUAGCUGGUCUGAGAGGACGACCAGCCACACUGGAACUGAGACACGGUCCAGACUCCUACGGGAGGCAGCAGUGGGGAAUUUUGGACAAUGGACGCAAGUCUGAUCCAGCCAUUCCGCGUGCAGGAUGAAGGCCCUCGGGUUGUAAACUGCUUUUGUACGGAACGAAAAGGUCUCUCUUAAUACGGGGGACUCAUGACGGUACCGUAAGUAUAAGCACCGGCUAACUACGUGCCAGCCGCCGCGGUAAUAC
rnacentral:rRNA from 1 species